AGUUGCUACUACUGAAGGAUCAGGAUAUGAUCCAAGCAAAGACCCAACAAGAAAGGCCAAAUCAAAUGACCCUGGGUGGAAGUAUGGGUAUUGGCCAGAUCUAACAAACAAGAAUGUUGUUAAAUGUACCUUUUGUG